rnacentral:rRNA from 1 species
AGGACGAACGCUGGCGGCGUGCUUAACACAUGCAAGUCGAACGGUAAGGCCCCUUCGGGGGUACACGAGUGGCGAACGGGUGAGUAACACGUGGGUAAUCUGCCCUGCACUUCGGGAUAAGCCUGGGAAACUGGGUCUAAUACCGGAUAUGAACUCCUGCCGCAUGGUGGGGGUUGGAAAGUUUUUCGGUGCAGGAUGAGCCCGCGGCCUAUCAGCUUGUUGGUGGGGUAAUGGCCUACCAAGGCGACGACGGGUAGCCGGCCUGAGAGGGUGAUCGGCCACGACUGGGACUGAGACACGGCCCAGACUCCGUACGGGAGCAGCAGUGGGAAUAUUGACACAAGUGGGACGAAAGGCCUAGGAACUGGACCAGGCGACCGCCGGCGGUGGGGGAUCGGACGGUCGUUCGGAUUCGUAAACCC